rnacentral:lncRNA from 7 species
GUCUUAUCAGGAUGGUGAUACUGGAAUUGAUUUUGGACAUCGCUCCAGUUCAAGGUUGAAUUGAAAGAUCUUUUUGAAGCUCAGAAGAAGCAGGUGGAUCGUUGCAAAACCAAAACCCUGCAAGAGGAAUUAAGGAAAAUACCCACUGGUGAUACAGAGCUAAUAGCUGGGACUUGGAAAUCUGCCAGAUUGGGUGCUUGCACUCCAGGAAUGUUCUUUGCCAGUAUAAACUUCUGUUUUGAACAGUGAGAUUCCUCUUUGUGGGUGUUGGGGUUUUUUUUUUGUGUGUGAAAGCAAGGGAAGCAGAAAAUGCAUGUAAAAAAAUCUGUCGUGUAAAAUUUCACUUCUGUCUGGCGAAUGAUCGAAUGCAUCUAAAUAGAAAAAGGUAGAAUAAAUUCCUCUGAACUUCAUCCGUGGAUUGGCUUUAAAUAAUAACAAGAAUGCUUUCCGAAAACCUUCCAAAGAAUAUAUUGUGUACAAUAUGUUGUAAUGUUUAAUCACUGAAGAAAUUGGCUCCUGUUGCUAAAAUUGGUAGUAGAGGCUCACUAUGCUCAUCUAUUAAAACGUUUUAAAAAUCACUGGACAUCUUUAAUUUACUUACUCUAAUCAGUAAACAGUAUUUCCAUCAUUAAGAUUGGCCAUACUCAAAUCUUUCCUGGACACGCUGUCUGGAAGCAGUGCUUUACACGAGUGUUACUCUGCCCCUCUCUCUGGCUCUGAUAGUCCUGGCUGUUAUAUGCAACAGCAAGAGAUAAAAAUUGUUACUGUUAUUUGGUAUGUUUUUGCAAAGUUUUUAAAAGAUCUGGUGACAUAGCUGGGCUCACGUAAUAGCUGACAAUAUAUAAGAAAAAGCAUUCAUUACUCACAGCUGUCUAUUCAUUUCUGUGUCCCAUUUGUUCAUGUAUGAGGUGAAGAAUUUGAGAGUACAGAAAGGGAAGUCUUGUCUGCUCGGUGUAUUUCACCAUUCAAAUUACUUGCAAUUUCAAAAUGCCAGUGUUACUUUUCAGGACAAAUUUCAUACAAUGGUAAUUCUGUGAUUAUUCAUCCAGUUUAAUUAAUUCAAUUAAGUAAGUCUGCUGUCAGGUGUUCUUUUAAUAAUUGAAUCAACAUGCAGAUACAUAAUAAGCAUAAAAGCAUUUCUGUGGCUGCAGUAAAUUCAGAUCCAAAAGAAUCUGCUAUUCCACUACAUUUGAUAUAGAUUAUUCUAUAAUAUUUCAGUAAUGGGUUGCACAAAGGCUGCCUUUUAAUUCUUUGCUUUCUCAAAUGUCUGUAUAUAUAAUGGUUUAAAACAGAAGGUGUUCAAAAGAGGGUGACCUUUUUCCAUUACCAUAGUUCCUGUCAUUAAUGCAUUAUAAUUUUCUUUAGAAGUCUGGAAAAAAUGUGUAUAUGUGCACUCUGUAGCAGGUAUGAAUCAAAGUGUGUUAGUGAAAGUUAAGAAUUGUCUGUUAUUACUUAAAAAAGAGAAAAAGAUAAAAAGAAAAAAAAAAAAACAACGGGAGAAGUAAUCUUAUUGUUAUUUUUACUGUGGAAGUUUAAACAAACCUUACGCUUUAUACAAAGCAGCCACAGACUUGAAAGUUUUGGCAUCUGUAAUCCGAACAGCAGUUGACUGACUGAGGUACUAAAAAUAAUGUGCCCCUUAACUAAAUGUAAAGCCAACAGAAUGUUGUAUGAGGCUGAACUGCGUAUAGAGGACAAUAACGCAUCUCCAUUCCCUGUUAUCUGCUGCCAUAGCAUUUAUUUUAAUAACGUGUAUAUUAAAGAACAUGGUGAAUGAU